rnacentral:lncRNA from 1 species
GGGGCGUCAUAACAUUGACGAUUAUUCAAAUACCAAAUCGAGUUGAAGUCUGAUUUACAUACGUUUUUGUUUUCAAGGGUUGUUUGUUUGCUUAGCGAAUUUGGAAAAAAAAAGGUUGUAAGAAAUCAGUCAUAAUGAGCAAAAAUAAACCGUUAUCUUAUGAACUGGUCGCUCUAGCAGAGGAGAUGUCAGACAUAGUAAUAUCUAAGCGAUGACAAUGGGCAAGAUGGGAAUGAAGAUAAAAUUUGUAAACUAGUAAUGAUUUAUUUGUUAUAUAAAAUAAAUGUUUUUCUAAAAAUUCUGGACAAUAAUGAUAUGAACGAGCUGCUUGAUAGACAAGAAGGUGAAAUUGUUGAUGGUUUGGAAGAGCAUCAAGAAAAUACAGAGGACGUAAGUGAGCGGGUAAUAGUCGGCGAAUCUUCUGUACGUGACGUAAUAAAUGUCCAGAACAAGGAAUCUACUACUAGUGUGACAGAGUUUUUUCUCGAAAAUGAUCUUACGAUGAAAAAAACAUACGUUGGAGAAGAACUGUCACCUAUCUUACUCCCCCAAUACCGUGGUAUAAAAAAAAUGUUGAACAACAUGUUACCUUGGAAAGUCCUUAAAAAAUAUUUCACUGAUAAAUUAUUUGAGGACAUGACUAAAUACACCAAUCUUUAUGCUAUUCAACAACAUAUAGCAAAUUAAAAAAUACCACACAAGAAGAGCUUAAAAAUUUUGUGGGAAUUCACAUAAUUAUGGGAAAUUUGCACUAUCCCCCGGUUCGUUCCUAUUGGGAUUCAAACUUAAGAAUACCUCGUAUAGCAGAUUGUAUGGCUCUCAACAGAUUUUUUAAAAUUCGAAUGCACGUUCAUUUUGUGAAUGUCGAGGAAAAUGAUCCACAAAACAAUGAUCGUUUCUGGAAACAAUUUAAACUUAUAUCAUUUUUAUUGGUAGACCCUAUAUAUGAAGGAACAACAACCAAAUUAGAAGACCUAGAAAAAAAAGUUUUCGGCCUUGCAGGUGCUGUUGUAGCAAAAUUAUCAACAAGAAUAGACGUACAAAAUAUUCAGUUGUAUUUUGACAAUUAUUUCUCCAAUUAUAAUUUAUUGCAAUUUCUUAGGCAAAAAAAGUAUAUAUGCCACAUGCACAGCUAGAAAAGAUAGAUUCAAUAAGCCACCAUUCACCUCAGACAAGGAAAUGCAACGCGGAUCUAUGGAAGAAAUUAUUAAUGAAGAUGGUGAGGUUAUUAUGACCAAAUGGUAUGACAACAAGCCUCUGUUUAUGGCCUCAAAUUUUAUGGGUUCUGGCAAAAUAGAUAUAACUGCCGUCGCUGGAAUAAAGUCAGUAAAGAGUACGUCAUGGUGCCGAGACCAGAAGUAGUAAAAACUUAUAACCGUUACAUGGGCGGCGUUGAUAAGUUAGAUUGCAUGAUUUCGAUUUACAGAACAUUCAUUAGAUCACGGAAGUGGACUUUGCGAAUGUUUACACAUGCCAUCGAAAUGGCUUGUACUAACGCAUGGUUUCAGUUAGUGUUGGGUUGCUAUUUAGCAGUCUGUUACUUUUUUACUGCUAUUUGGUUUUGGUUUAGUAGCAACUGCUAUCUGCUAUGAGUUUAAGAAUCGCUGCUAUUAAAAAAGCAACUGAAUUUUUUUACGCAGGCACCUCACAAGAGUCUACGUAACAACUUCUCAGAUAGAGCGCACUGGUAUUGCCCCGUCGCCUUAUCGC